rnacentral:tRNA from 1 species
GGGGAUAUAGCUCAGUGGUAGAGCACGUGCUUAGCAUGCACAAGGUCCUGGAUUCAAUCCCCAGUACCUCCA